GCAGAAGCCGCCGCCGUGGAAGUACACGAGCACCGGCAGCUUCUUCUCCUCCACCCCGCCGCCAGCGCCGGCGGUGGAGAGCCGGUACAUGCGGAGCCGGAGGCCGUGCGCGCCGUCGUAGACGACGUCCUUCCACUCCACGGGCAGGUCCGGCGGCGGCACGCCGCCAACGAGCGGGAACACCGAGUAGUCCGUGGACCGCCUCACCGUGCCGUCGCUGAGCAGCUGGACGAGGCCGAGGCAGUCCUCGACGACAUGUGGCGCUGCCGCCGAGCAUGCUGGAACGGCCGACGACAUGACAAGUUGGCUACUGAACAGUGAACACAGGAGUGUGACCGAGCAAGUCACGAAGCUUUACGGCCGAUAAAUAGCCGGGCAUGGUCGCAAGGAUGCCCUGGCCUUUAUUUCGUUGACUUGGACUGGACUACCGGACCCACCAGUAAGCGACACAGGCUAGUCAGAGAGCCGUGCGUCGAUCAGCCGCCGUGGACUUCUCCUACCCGCGAAGUGAGAUUUUCCACACGUGAUAAGCACAAUCCGUGCCACGGAGGAUGACACGUCACUGUCUCCUCCGCGUGUCGAAUGCUCGUCGGUCACUGCAACGAAGAUAAGCUCAAAGCGUUCCCAUCAGAUCACGGCGGUUGGCAGUUGCUUGUCUGAUCAUGUGACCAUGUCUAGUUCCAACCUCGCGCUCAAUUCGGCUCACCAUUUUCGGUUUGAAAUCCAGCUAAAAUCAUCUUGCCGUCCGUAGCUCGACGAAGAAGAAGAAGGUUCGAAUGGUUGCUCAGUUGUCACUCUGCUCGUACUUUUUGUGUUGAAGUCUGUGCCGAAUGCCUUUAAGCUUUUUUGAAAAACGCAGGAAAGAAAGGGCCAAUGUCGUGCGCUUGUUGGAUUGAAAAGGAAGGCACAUCGCGUUCGCAUAGCAGCUAGAAUCUAGACACUACGCUUUGGAUUGCUGUCUCACAUCAGCAUGGAAGGCGACGCGCCGCCGCGCGUCGUCGAGGACUGCCGCGGCGCGCUCCGCGUGCUCAGCGACGGCACCGUCGUCCGGUCGACGCCGCCGAUCGCCGGCGACACCGAGGGCGUCCGCGCCGACCCGUCCGUCGCGUGGAAGGACGCCGUCUACGACGCGGCACAUGGCCUGGGCCUCCGCAUCUACAUGCCCGCCGUCGCGGCAGCCGCCGGCGGCCGGGACACGAAGCUCCCCGUCGUGGUCUACUUCCACGGCGGCGGCUUCUGCAUCGGCUCCUACGCGUGGCCGAUCUUCCACGCGGCGUGCAGCCGACUCGCCGCCGGUCUUUCCGCCGUCCUCGUCUCCGCCGACUACCGCCUCGCCCCCGAGCACCGCCUCCCCGCCGCCAUCGACGACGCGGCCGCGGUCCUCCUCUGGCUCCGCGACAGCAUCGCCGCCGGUGCCGACCCCUGGCUCGCCGCCCACGCCGACGCGGGCAGAGUCCUCGUCGCCGGCGAGUCGGCGGGCGGCGUCCUGGCGCACCACAUGAACGUCCGCUUCUCCUCCGGCGCGCCGCUCCACCCCGUGCGGCUCCGCGGCUUCGUCCCGCUCAUGCCGUUCUUCACCGGCGGCGGCGAGCCGACGCCCUCCGAGCUGGCAUGCCCCGACAGCGCGUUCCUGAACCGCGACAUGUCGGGGCGGUACGUCCGGCUGUCGCUCCCCGCCGGCGCCACAGCGGACCACCCGUUCCUGAACCCGUUCUCGCCGGACGCGGCGCCGGGGCUGGACCGAGUUGACGUGGGGCCGACACUGGUCGUCGUGGGCGGCGACGACAUGCUGCGGGACAGGAACGUGGAGUACGUGCGGAGGAUGGAGGAGAUGGGGAAGCCGGUGGAGGCCGUCGUGUUCCCGGGGCAGGGGCACGCCUUCUUCUCGCUCCGGCCGUGGAGCGAGCCGGUGGAGGAGAUGAUCCGGGUUGUGAAGCGGUUCAUGGACAAGGUCUGCUCAGGCUGAGCUGAGCGGUUACUGUAGAUGCACCGAACUGCUACUCUGUGUUCUGAUUUUUCACUGCAAGCUGCAUAAAAUAAAGGGAGACUAAAUUUUAAGUCUCCAUUACUGGAUAUUUACUAUGUUUUCUUCAUUUUGCCCUUCAAUCAAAAUCUAUCAAUACGUAUGGCGCCGAAGUGGUGGAUAGUGUGUGUGACCCAUAAAAACUUAGCUUCAAAUUCGGCCGGGCUUCAUGUUGCCGCCAUCGUGGGGUAUGGGUCUGAUUUCUACGCAUACUGGGCUGGGCCAACAUUUGGUGACAGGUGCUUUUUUUUGACCCAACAGAAGUCCCACCAACCUCAAAAAUUUAGUAAUCCUCUAAAAUAGUAUUGAAAAACACUCACGAAAACACACGGCUUGCCCACUUGGACCAGUUCCCAUCUAGGGUACCGUGUUAUACUUUUCGAAGAAAGAAAUUACUUGACAGAUUAUCAGCUCUUUUCCAAGACGUCAUUGGACUAUUCAAUUGUUUUCUUUGAAGAGGACAAUCUGUCCGAAUUGCUGAGUCAUCAUGGGUACCAAGUGGACCAUAUGGUUAGAUGUGCAUUGCAUACAUCUUUGCUUCCUGUCACUCCAGAGCUCUGAAUAACAGAACCCAUCUAAAACAAUCGGUCUGCUUUCUCCACUUCGUCUUCCCUCGGAUCAUGCGAUCAGCUCGUGCCUUCUUCUCUUCCAUCUCUGUUAACAUCAGUCUAUCCACCGAUACAUUACUCCAUCAUGCAUCAAUAACUCGUCUUCCAGAAGGGGUUAAAAGUUGAGCUCUUCAUUCAGUCAGUUCUCCUGAGACCUUUUCUACUGAUGAUGAUGUGGGCCUCUGUCAGUUCAGAAUUUCUCACAUUCAGACCCUACGAACAAGAAAGAGAUCAGAGAGGCAUCUCCAUCUCCGGCCUCUCAUUUUCAUUUGCAGUCUAGAGGAUGGGAUAUGGUUCGACGAGCAUGGCCAUAACCCGUCGUUUCUUGGCAGAUAUUUGCCGUGGACUGACUCGAUCAGUUGCAACUGAACGUAGCUGUCAAUCUAACCCUCCCCUCCCACCUCCCUCCCCUGCUCACACGCGCCUCCCCUCCUUCCCCUCAUCACGCGCAGGCAGCCGUAUCGAACUGGCGUCAGUCAGCUAGAUCUCCUCCUUACAGGUAAAAUAUUUCUGUGCAUUUCUGUUUUCUGUUUAGAAUUAAGCAGAGAUUGCAUGAUGCUAGUAAGCGGUCAUCCCAUACGUUGAACACCUUAUAUGCCUUAGUUUCCAUUCCAGUGUGAUUAGUUCCUUUGUGUGCUUGUACCAACAACUUGAUCUAAUCUUGGCAUAUGGGAAUUAAAUCAGCUGGCCCAUGGCUGGAGGGAAUUCCACCAUAGACUGCUCCUACGAUGCACUGGAGCAAUGCUCCUCUAUGAUUACAUGCGAUGCCUCCUCAUGGGACAAGAGCUUUGGAGAGAAGAUAUGGCUUAUGAACUCACUCCAGCUCAUCAGUGCCGUCCUGGCUGGAGUCAUAGUCGGGAUAGGCAUCUACGGCCAGCGCUACCGCCACCACCGCUUCACCAGGUUUAUCUUCCUCGGAGCCACGACCCUGUUCUUGCCUGUCGUCUCCACUGUUGUCUCCAUGGGCGCCGGGAACAGUAACCACAGCAUAGUCAGGGGUGACAUUCGGUUUAUUGCAGAGUGCCAACCAAGAGCACAGUCGAUCCUGAUUGUAAUAUGGGCAUCCCUUGUUCAGAUCAUCAUGAUCAAUACCAGUGCAGUAGUUGCUGUCGAUGAUAGAGAAGGUGGAAACGUAGGUCCUCCAUUUGAGCUGCUUGUUCAGGGUGUCUGGAUCUUUUACCUUGGUAUCAGCAAUAUCAUUCCUAUGGCUGACGGAUUAUUUGAAAUCGAGCUAAUUCUUUUUGCCCUUGAAGCCACACCUUUUGCUCUCACGUGUGCCAAAAUGGUAUUGAAAUAUUAUGCAUAUGAAAAGGCGCGACAAUCCUUUGCUCUCGGACGCAAUCCCCAUCUUAUAUUUGGAUACAUGAAGCAACAAUCGUUACAAGAAACAAGUCACGAUGGUGAACCAAUGGUAGCUGAGGAUGCACCUCCCCCGCUGCUGGUUAUGGGAGAAGAGAAAAGACACGUGGAGAAGCAGCCUCUUGGGUAUGUGGUCAAGGAUGACUCAUGGACAACUUCGCAUAACAAUGGCCUGGUGACUAUUGAUAGAGUUUGGAGGAUGGAUAACGUGCUUCCAACAUCAACACUGAAACCACAAAAAGACUUAUGCUUGUCAUUUGCAUUGUUCAAGUUGUUGCGGUGCCGAUUUGCAAGGUACAAGGUCAGAACUGCUGCCUCCAAGGGCACCUUCAGUUUUUUCUGGAGCUUAUUGCUGAAGGAUGGCGAACAUGAUAGGGUCUUUUUGGUCAUUUCGGAUGAGGUUUCUUUCCUUCAUGAUUAUUAUUAUUCAUCCCUCCCGAUCUCCUAUUCCAAGCAUUGGUUGCCCGUUGCCGGUAUCUUGAUCUCACUACUGAGCAUAGCUUACUGUUGUGCAUCGAUGAUCACAGUAACGCUUGUGGUAGUCCAACUGUUGCUGGAUGUUGGAUUCGGACCUCAGUCGUUUGCAUGCUAUUUUUUUUGCAUUCGAGGAAAACUGAGGAGCGACAUGUACAUCCAAGGUUAUGGGAAUGGGUACCUUGGUCCGGUGCUAUUAAUUUUGCUUUCGGUGUUAGUCUUGAUGUCUGAGGUGAGGGACAUAGCUACCUACAUCUACUCCAACUGGACUAAAGUUGCCGUCACCUGCCACCUUGUAAACCAUGCCUCUUCGCAGCAUUCACUUCUCAAGAAGAAAUGGAUUGGCCUUCUGCUGCGUUGUCGAUGCAAGCUGAUGAAGCAUUGGGAUGAGAAAAUAGGCCAGUGCACUAUGCUGGAGAUUCGCCCGAGAACAACCCUGCCUGUACUUCUCAGGCGUCUCCUCCACUUACCAGACCACAAGAGGAAGGUCAAGGUGCCUGCAGCAGUGAAGGUUUGCAUCAUGGAAGUUGUAAGAAGCACUAGAAAUGGAGACCUUAGCAAUGGCACAGCAUCUCUCCGCUGCCGGGGCCAAGUUGGUGAAGUGCUCCUCUGGGCUUGCAACAACAAGAGUACGUCUUAUACCAUACUGACAUGGCACAUCGCCACAAGCAUCCUCGAGGUCAGGUACCCACACCGGCUUGAUCAACAACAAGGUUCUUCUUCUCCAAUUCCGAACACGGACUAUAAGAUCGUUGCCACUCACCUAUCAAGGUACUGUGCUUACCUUGUGACAUGGUGCCCUGAGUUACUCCCUGAUGAUGAUGCAUGGAGCAGGAGCCUGUACGAGGAUGUCAAGAAGGAUGUUGAGCGUGUACUUGCCGGCUGCACAGCAGGAGACUCACUGACGCCAGAAGCAAAUUGCCAACAGCUGAUCGAAGUGCUGAGUGCAGAUGCGAAGCAUGAAGUGCUCAAGGAAGGCGCUAGGCUUGGAAAGCAGUUGUUGGCGCUGGUGGUCGAAGGUGAGGACGAUACAGCGGCGUGGAAGUUACUGGCUGAAUUUUGGUCGGAGAUGAUCGUGUAUGUCGCGCCAUCCGACAACCUCAAAGGUCAUUCGGAGGCCAUCGCCAGGGGUGGCGAGCUGAUAACUCUGCUCUGGGUGUUGCUCUUCCAUGCUGGGAUCCUUAGUAGGCCAGGUGAGGACGAUGGCGUUGCUCCUACUUCUGCUGGCGUGGUUUAGUAGAGUCUCCUAUGUUUGGAACUACUGUUUCCUCCUUGUUUCGGAUUCUUCAUCGUUGAGUUCAUUUCAUAUACCAGAAUUUGUUAACUUGUGGCAGCAUGUGACUCCAUCUUGGUAAUCAGAUGAUCAAUUGUAACAAGUCUAUUUAGAGGUCCUAUAAUAUUGUCGAGACUCGAUAUUCAGAUGUAAUGUUAAAUAUUUCUACGUAUUGUAUUGUGAUGAAUAUAUAUGUUUCAAUUUGGUAUUGUAAUGAAGUGCUAGUAUAUUACACUAUUACUAAUUGGAGGUUCCUAAAUCCUCGCGAUGUGCUCUAGAAAAAUAGAUAAAUCUUAUAAAUUCCCACAAAAUUAAAAUUAGAAACAUCCAACCGUCAAUCCAGUAGACUCUAAUCGUAAUAGCCAUCGGAUCUAUUAUGUUAUCGAAAAACAUAAUCACAUCCCUCAUUAUAAUAAUAGCCUCAUUAUAAUAAUAGUAUAAAGUAACUCCUAAUUCUAUAUCGAAAUUUCCCACCUCUAGCAUAGGUGGGUAAUUUAUAUGGUUGGCAUCAUAACGAUACAUCCAGUUUGUAGCUGUGAAUCUAUUGAGCCGGUUAUGAUGCUGGAACACAACCAGUGGUAGAAGAUGGAACAAAUUUAGGAGUACGGAAUAAAUUUAAGGUCUGACAAAAUCAAAAAUUGAAAGUAACCAAAAAGAUAUCCUUUUCAUUAAUAGCACGAAACAGUGAAGGACGGAAUAAAUUGCAACCUCGAUGAUCAAACAUUUAGGAGAUAAUAGCUGCAGGUCAAGAGAUGAUCAAACAUUUAGGAAACAACACAUGAAAUGCACAGCCACCGAUUGACCAAAACAAAAAGGAAAUUAAAAUGAAUGCCUAAUGAUUUGAUUUCAAAUAAAAAAUGCUAAAAAUGAAAAUUUGCAAUUUGUACCUCUCAAUUCAGCCUUGCCCUUGCCCUUACCCUUGGACUCCAUUUUAGCCUGUGCACUUCGGAUUCCCUGCGUUGUACGCUGCUUCUUGUAACACCAAUGGUGUUUACUAUAAAUUAAACCUUACUUAAGCACUAAUGAGGAGAAAUAAAAAGGAAAAGAGAAAAGAAAAGGAGAAAUACAGAAAAGAAGACUUGGUCAAACAAGGUUGAAUUAGAGACUUGACUAAGUCAACCAUGGUCAAAUUAAGUCAAAAAGGUGAAUUUGGAUCAAUUGUGACAAAUGGAGUGGAUUAAAUUCAAAUCCAGUUUGAAUUUUUAAAUUUAAACUUGAUUUGGAAAGAGGAGUCAAAUGUGGUCAAGUACCCAUGUUUGAGUGCUGUUUCAAAAGGAUUUUAUAUAACAACUUUGGAAAAUAUUCUACUAAGAGUUUGAGUAUAAUGUGUAUAGAACAAUUUGGACUUGAUGUGGUUCACAGAAAAUGGAAUUUGGGUAAUUUAAUUGAGGCUCAAAGUUUGAACUAUGUGCUGUUUGGAGACUUAGGCAGAUUCUCAAUUCAGUGUCUGUAACUGAAACUCAUAUUCAGUUCAUAAUCAAAUCUUCAGAACUCUUAAUCUCUCAAACCGUGGAUCCUUUGAACAAAGUUCAUAUCUAUCAUUUGUAUACCUAUGUUACAUCUACAUUUUUGUUUAUUGGUGCUUGAAGAGAUUGUGUUUGGUUCGGAUGAAUUUAUCUUAAGAAAUAAGGAAUGUUUCUGUGUACCGAAGCCAAAACAUACAACGGUAAGGGUGCCUUUGGUUGGACUUUCCAACCUACUUUUGCAAGUCAAAAGCCAACCAAAGGACCUAAAAACCACAUAUAGUUUAGGUUAAAAGCUGCUUUUGCUCUAGGGUGUGUUUGAUUGGGCUGUGGCUUUUGGAAAAGCUGUUGUGAGCUGUAGGCUGUAGAAAAGCAGUUGUGAGAAAGUAGCUGUGGGAAAAGCAGACUGUGAAACUGUAGGUUGUGUAAGAAAUACAUAUAAUGUCCCUAAAGGUUUGAGGGUCUGUUUAUAUGCAAAUUGUUCGUAACAAAAUAUUGUGUUUACUAAUUUGCAUGUAAAUGAGUACUUUAGAAAGAAAAAAAAUAAAAUUUAUAUGUUCUUCAUCCAUCAAAGUAAUUGGUCCACAUAAAUAGAACAAUAUUCAUCAAAAGACUUAUACAAUGAUGCUAUCCCUCAACAUUACUGUCCUCUUCUCACACUAACCAAAGCAUCAGCUAUCGUAGUACGAAUGGUAUUCAUGGUAUCAUUCUCCACACGUUUCUCAUCUUCGGAGUCUUCGGAUAUGACUAUUUAUUGACGAAAUAUUUUUUAUUUCCAUAACCAUAUCCAUUAGUGGGUCCCAAUUAUCAUUGUUGGUGCCUAUCGUUUCUUUUUUUCUUUUUGCUUCGACUGUAUCUUCUAGCAUUGGACGAGCAUCGUCUCCCAAGCUUAGUCCCAGGAUGGAGAGGAGCUUGAGCUUGCCUGGGCCAUAGCCGCCCAAUGUGAGCUUUGCCUGCGCCAUGGCUGCCCAGCUCGAGCUUGCCAACGCCAUGGCCGCCCAGCUUGAAGACGAAGUACAACACCUUGGUGCACAGUAGGAAGUUGCGCUCGACGGUGAAGACGAUGAGCGUGACGAGCCACUAGCUGAGAAGGUGGCCGGAGAAGGUGGCCGGAGAAGAUGGCGGUGACCAUGACACAACACUUCUAGAUCUCCAGCCCCAACAGGAUGCGCCCCCCGCAGGGGCCGCACGACGACGCUGACGACGAGCAGCGCGAGGACGAGGACGAGCACGGAGAGCUCAAGGCCGAGGCGCGCCUGGCGGUGGCACCGUGCCGCGAAGGCGGGUCUCCGGGAGCCGUCCCUGUUGCGGAAGAGGUCCUCCUUGUGGUCGGCAAUCCAUCCGAGCUACAAUCCAUCGUCAGCAAUGCAUCAUUAAGAAAAAUGGUAUCUGGAAAAGAUAUGGGUAGUUUAUUGUCAGUGCAGAAGAUCUGAGCUACAAGGUUUAGAGGAAGGCAGGUCUCGUAGUGCCGCUGUUGUAGAUAGGUCUAUUUUACAUCGCUAUUGGCUUCUUCAUUGUUAUUGAGGUUAUUGCUGGGUUACAAUCUAUGGUUCUGGUUUUUGUCGGACCAGCUACAGUAAGAUUGCAUCGACUUCUUUCAGUGUACCGAUCAUAAGAUCUAGUAAAAUUCACUUGAAAUUACACGCAAAUCGGCAAAUGUUCUGUAUUUUGUCAAAGAAGAAAAAGGAAGUUGUGUUACAGGAUAACGACUAUAAUUUUACUGGGGCAAGAAAUUAGACAUGCCGAAUUUUUACCACAUAUUGUUUGCACAUUUCAUUGCCAAAAAAAGGCAUUGAUCAGCCCCAUCUAAACGUUUUAAAUAAAUGAAUGCAACACAUAGCGUUCAUCUGAUACUGUUGUAAUAUGUAUCUGCCAUCUUCUAAAUCUCAACUAAAAACUUACAUCCCUAGUCAUUGCAAUAGCAACCUGUCUCUAUCAUCCUCAGUGCAUCAAGUAACAGACAUCAGGAAUGCACCACCACUCGCUAUCAUCUUAGCCGUAUGAUUCUAAAUUUCUAAUUAAUUACUCCCUCUGUCCCAAAAGACUAUUCGUUUAGUCUCCAAAACUUGUCCUAUAAAGAGUGUUUUAUAACUUUCAGACCAUCCAACAAAGGCCUUCAUAAAACCUUCUGGCCCAGUGAACGAAUCGAUCAAUUACUCCCAUCAUCGAUGCCCGAUCCAGACUCGCUAAAUAAGGAAGGCUAAUAGGUUCGACAAUUACUAUAAGCGUGCAUGCAUAAUUAAUUAUACUUGGCAAUCCAUCCGAUUAAGAAGAAUUAUUAGAGGUACUUUGAACUUCUAGUAUUUCUACUAUCUUGUCUAAAAUUUUUUAAACGUCUUUGUGGGACGGAGCGAGUAGGCGCCUCUAGUUGUUGAAUUAUAUUUGUUUAUGAAAAAAGGCAAUCACCCAGCAUAUAGUGCCUACAUUUAUUUCUUACAGUGACAAAUAUUAUUUGCAUCACACAGCCUUUUAAUUUUCUGAUUCAUUCACCAAUUAUUAACCACUGUGCACGAACCGCCUAAUAACCCGGAUCAGCUCGUCCGAGGCCUCCCCGCACGGCUCCGUGACGAAGAAGGCGUGCCCCUGCCCCUCGAACACGACGAGCUCGACCUCCUUGCCGGCCGCCCUCAGCCUCGCGACGUACUCCCCGACGCGGUCGUGGAGCACGUCCUGGUCGGGAUCGAGGACGAGCACCGGCGGGAAGUCGCCGCCGAGGUCGCCGAACGGGACGCUCCCCGGCGCGAGCGGGUUCGCGAUCGGGUGGUCCUUGGUGGCGCCCGCCGGCAGCGCCAGGCGCCACAACUGGUCGAACAGCGCCAUGCCCAUGGGCUCGCCGGGCUGGGACGCCGCCUCGGACGGCGUCAGCUCCUCGCCGCCGAAGUAGGGCCAGAGCAUCACGCAGCCGGCGAGCCGGAGCGGGGUGAGUGGGAGCUCCCCGGACCCGUGGCGCACAGAGAUGUGGUGCGCAAUGUUGCCGCCGGCCGAGUCGCCGGUGACGAACACCCGGCGGAAGUCGGCCGACUCGGCGAGCCACAGGUCGGCGCCGGCGCCGGACGCGGCGGCGGUGGCCUGGGAGCGGAGCCAGGAGAAGACGGACUCGGCGUCGUCGAGCGCGGCGGGCAGGCGGUGCUCGGGCGCGAGGCGGUAGUCGGCGGAGAGCACGACGGCGGGCAGCUCGGCGGCGAGGCGGAGCGCGCCGGCGUGGAAGUUGAUCACCUCGAAGCUGGCGACGCAGAAGCCGCCGCCGUGGAAGUACACGAGCACCGGCAGCUUCUUCUCCUCCAACCCGCCGCCAGCGCCGGCGGUGGAGAGCCGGUACAUGCGGAGCCGGAGGCCGUGCGCGCCGUCGUAGACGACGUCCUUCCACUCCACGGGCAGGUCCGGCGGCGGCACGCCGCCCACGAGCGGGAAUACCGAGUAGUCCGUGGACCGCCUCACCGUGCCGUCGCUGAGCAGCUGGACGAGGCCGAGGCAGUCCUCGACGACAUGUGGCGCUGCCGCCGAGCUUGCUGGAACGGCCGACGAC
rnacentral:lncRNA from 1 species